rnacentral:rRNA from 1 species
UACGUAGGGGGCAAGCGUUGUCCGGAUUUAUUGGGCGUAAAGAGCGUGUAGGCGGUUUGGUAGGUCCGUUGUGAAAACUCGAGGCUCAACCUCGAGACGCCGAUGGAAACCAUCAGACUAGAGUCCGGAAGAGGAGAGUGGAAUUCCUGGUGUAGCGGUGAAAUGCGCAGAUAUCAGGAAGAACACCAGUGGCUAAGGCGGCUCUCUAGUACGGUACUGACGCUGAGACGCGAAAGCGUGGGGAGCGAACAGG